rnacentral:rRNA from 1 species
UACGAAGGGGGCUAGCGUUGCUCGGAUUGACUGGGCGUAAAGGGCGCGUAGGCGGUCAGCACAAGUCAGUUGUGAAAUCUCCGGGCUUAACCCGGAAAGGUCAACUGAUACUGUGCGACUAGAGUGCGGAAGGGGCAACUGGAAUUCUCGGUGUAGCGGUGAAAUGCGUAGAUAUCGAGAGGAACACCUGCGGCGAAGGCGGGUUGCUGGGCCGACACUGACGCUGAUGCGCGAAAGCCAGGGGAGCGAACGGG